rnacentral:tRNA from 1 species
GGGGAUUUAGCUCAGUGGUAGAGCACUUGCCUAGCAAGCACAAGGCCCUGGGCUCAGUCCCCA